rnacentral:rRNA from 1 species
GAUGAACGCUGGCGGCGUGCCUAAUACAUGCAAGUCGAGCGAACAGACGAGAGUGCUUGCACUCUCUGACGUUAGCGGCGGCCGGGUGAGUAACACGUGGGUAACCUACCUAUAAGACUGGGAUAACUUCGGGAAACCGGAGCUAAUACCGGAUAAUAUUUAGCUUCGCAUGAAGCAAUAGUGAAAGACGGUUCUGCUGUCACUUAUAGAUGGACCCGCGGUGUAUUAGCUAGUUGGUGAGGUAACGGCUCACCAAGGCAACGAUACAUAGCCGACCUGAGAGGGUGAUCGGCCACACUGGGACUGAGACACGGCCCAGACUCCUACGGGAGGCAGCAGUAGGGAAUCUUCCGCAAUGGACGAAAGUCUGACGGAGCAAUGCCGCGUGAGUGAAGAAGGUUUUCGGAUCGUAAAACUCUGUUGUAAGGGAAGAACAAGUACGUUAGUAACUGAACGUACCUUGACGGUACCUUACCAGAAAGCCACGGCUAACUACGUG